rnacentral:rRNA from 1 species
GAUGAACGCUAGCGGCAGGCCUAACACAUGCAAGUCGAGGGGCAGCACAUAAAGUGGUUUACUACUUUUGGUGGCGACCGGCGGACGGGUGCGUAACGCGUAUGCAACCUGCCUCCAACAGGGGGAUAACGGAGAGAAAUUUCCACUAAUACCCCAUAAUAUCAGAAUCGGCAUCGGUUUUGGUUGAAAACUCCGGUGGUUGGAGAUGGGCAUGCGUCGUAUUAGAUAGUUGGUGAGGUAACGGCUCACCAAGUCAACGAUACAUAGGGGGACUGAGAGGUUAGCCCCCCACACUGGUACUGAGACACGGACCAGACUCCUACGGGAGGCAGCAGUGAGGAAUAUUGGUCAAUGGGGGCAACCCUGAACCAGCCAUGCCGCGUGCGGGAAGACGGCUCUAUGAGUUGUAAACUGCUUUUACAAGGGGAUAAAUCGGUGUACGUGUACACCGUUGAAGGUACCUUGGGAAUAAGGAUCGGCUAACUCCGUGCCAGCAGCCGCGGUAA